rnacentral:rRNA from 1 species
AUUGAACGCUGGCGGCAUGCCUUACACAUGCAAGUCGAACGGCAGCACGGGGCAACCUGGUGGCGAGUGGCGAACGGGUGAGUAAUGCAUCGGAACGUACCUUUCAGUGGGGGAUAACGUAGCGAAAGUUACGCUAAUACCGCAUAUUCUGUGAGCAGGAAAGCAGGGGAUCGCAAGACCUUGCGCUGAUUGAGCGACCGAUGUCAGAUUAGCUAGUUGGUGAGGCAAAGGCUCACCAAGGCGACGAUCUGUAGCGGGUCUGAGAGGAUGAUCCGCCACACUGGGACGGGGGCACGGCCCAGACUCCUACGGGAGGAAGCAGUGGGGAAUUUUGGAAAAUGGGGGCAACCCUGAUCCAGCCAUGCCGCGUGAGUGAAGAAGGCCUUCGGGUUGUAAAGCUCUUUCGGCCGGGAAGAAAUCGCACAGGCUAAUACCUUGUGUGGAUGACGGUACCGGAAUAAGAAGCACCGGCUAACUACGUGCCAGCCGCCGCAGUAAGAC